rnacentral:lncRNA from 1 species
CCUUAAGGAAAGUGUCAAUUUAAUUUAAUUUACUCAACAUGCCAAAAUUGCAUACAAGGAAAUUUAAAGUGCGAUAAAUGUACAUACCUUGCCAUUUGGUCAUUUUGCAUCUGUCCUAGCAUUCAACACAUCAUUUAAACAAUUCUAACCAUAAAUCACUAUGGCACAAACAUGCUAUUCAACAUAUAGUCUAAGCAAUCAUCAAUCAUACCUCACGCAAUCAUCCAAGCAAUAAAAACAUCCACAAAAUAGUUUUAAAAGUCCUUAAACAAUCCAUGAAAAGUCCAUUUACAAACCAAACAAGUCCAAAGUCUAAACCCUCAAAAUAAACCCAUAUUGUCAUCCUUUAUUAACCAAAACCACCUCACAUGCACAACCAAGAUGCCUUUGCCUUUGGAUCUCAAGCUUGCCUAGUUUCCCACUCCACACAAGCUAUUUCUCUGCAAAAAUAAACACAAGGGAGUGUGAGCUUAACCAAGCUUAGUGAGUGUUCAAGAUGCUACAACAAACCACAAAAUCAAUAGUUAAAAACAAACAUGCUAAACACAUUUAUCAUAUAAAAUCAUCAAAUUUCAUAUCAUAUUGAUACAUUGAUAACUUGUGAAGAUGAAAAUAUAGAAAAAAAUAACUUUCAUUGGAUACUCGGAUCUCCAUUACACCAUGACUCAAAAGAGUCUAUAUGUCCUAAGCAAGUGUAGUAUGAAGCUAACACUCUCCAACACACCAACAUAUCUCAAUGAAUGGAGCAAUGUUCUACAUUCUCUUAUCCCUCCAAACAUGUCCCAAUAAAAAAAACAUAUAAAUUAGUACUCAAAUCCUAUAGCAUGCCAACUAUAUCCAAUGCUUUCAAAGGUUCACAAAGCCAAUAUAGCCAUGUCACACAUUCAUUUUCUAAUUUAUGCACACUUUCACGUAUCAUGCUUUACCAUGAUCAAACACUUAUCUCAUGUUCUCAUAAUACACUUCAAGUACUAACGCUUUACUCAUUGAGCCAAUUACACUUUCAUAUCAAAGGUAUGUGCAUAAAACUAACUACCCACAAGGCAUAUCCAGAUAUAUAUUCAACAUAUAUAAUCACAUCAUACACUUAAGCAUUUCAAACACAUGUAAGCUUGUUUGCAAAUCAAGUACCACCAUCGUUUCUAUAGGAAGUUUGGUGAAAGAGCAAAAUUUGAUUCAAAUUCUCAAAUAUCUUUCAUUUACAUUGUCAACCUUUAUUUGGGAUAUUUGCGAUAACCCUCAAGCAUAAGAAACUGAAAAGCUAAGUAUUUGCAUUAAUACUUACAUUAAUGACCAAAUACAUGCAUCUAAUCCUAAAUUCAUGUAUAAUUUCAAAAUCCACGUUUUAAUUAAAUAAAUACAUGUAUCUAAUGCACGUACAUUCAUUCAUGCAUUAAUUCGUUUACUAAAUGAGCUCAAAAAGUCUGUUAAGAAUCUUCUAACCAAAUUUAGGCUUUUCAUGUUACAACUCAUUAGGCUUUCAAAGCCCAAAAUAUGCCUAGCUUCACCCUCUUCAAUUUAGACCAAAAUAGCUAGCUCUUGCAUGAAAAGUGCUAGUGCAUUGGAGUAACAAUUUUCCAAAAAAUGCAACCUAGUAAACUUGGUAGCAGUGGAAAUUUUGUUUCCUUAAAUGGUUGUUUGUUUGUAUCAGUUAAGAUUAUGAAGUAGUAGGAGUUUUGUGUUUUUGAUGUUUAAUUUCUUCCAAAUUGUUCAAGGGCUUAGGUCAUGUUGCUGAUCAGUAAGUAAUAGCAUUAGAAGUAUUCCUAUUUCUCUCACUACUAUUGUGGUGUGGAAUCUUAUUUAUGCAGCUUUUAAUCCAAGCCCAUCCUCACUAAAUGCAAAUCACGACCCAUAAUUAACCCGCUCAAAUUGGAUUAAGCUAGAAUGAACCAAGCCUGGCAACUAUAUUAAAAGAAAAAUAGCAAGAAAUAUAGAGAAAGAAAAGACUAGGGAGAAGAGAUAGUAAAUUUUUUGGGGGAUUUUAGAGAAUUGAAUGUGACUGCUAAUACUUGUGGUUAAACUAUUUAAUUUAUCAAUUUGCUUUUAAACUUAUCCAAAGAAAAAUUUGGAGUUCAUCUUAAAUGUAUCAGAGUAAGAAUAUAACAUACAAUAUUUGGAACAAUAGUUUUAAGUAAAUUAGCAAUGCCAAAAUCAGUGCCAACAGCUUCGGGUACUGAUCAACAAUAACAAUAAAUACACUUUAUGUUUAUGUAGUUCGAUUUUUUUAUGUCUGCAGAAUUUUACCUGGAAAAAUAAUUCACUAUCUUAACACCUCAUACAAUAAAUUAUUACAACUUUAAAUACUCACCAAAUUAAAAUCUCAAUUUUACAUCUAAGAUUUUCUAAUUUUUAAAAGGGUUUUCUUUUCUAAUUUCUAAUUUAUUUUAAGAUGAUGUAUAUAUAAGGGAAUUACUCACAUAUAGUUUUUUAAUUAGUACUAGUUUCUUACUGCGCAUCAUGGCCAGAAUUAGCUAAAAGUGACAAUUUUUUUUAAAAGAUAUUGAGAGAAUAAGCAGAUUUUUGGCAUAUUUACGGGAAUAAAUCAAUUUUAGAGAGAGAAUGUAAUGCGUCUAUCUGAAAGAGAUUUUAUUUGACUUUGUAGGAAACCGCGCCCAACGCGUUUUCACUUUCUCUCCUCCACUGGGUUUAAGGUUUUUAGGGUUUUGUUAGAGUUUUAUUGGGUUUAGGAUUUUUAGAGUAGUAAAUGAAUUUUAAGAUUUUGUUAAGGUUUUUAAGGGUUUAGGGUUUAUUUUUGGGUUGUAGGUUUUAAGGUUGGAAAUAAAGGGAGGCAGAUUUUUUUGUGUUUGUAUUUGUGUUUGAGGUAGACAAUAUUGUGAAAAACUCAAAGGUAUAUUUCUGUUGACGGUGAUGCGAAAGCGCUGGGAAAACUAUGCAUUUCUUUUGUCGUGUUGAGAUAGAACCAUUGCCUUAGAAGUCCAUUGCAUUGCAAAUCAGGUUUCGAGUUCGUAGUGCUUAUACGAUUACGGGUUGUAGUAUAACAAGGGGCUCCUAGUUGACGGAUGUUAAUAUGGGGUCACGAUUUGGAGUAUAACUUGGGAGCCCACUUGAUAGUGGUUAUGCGGUCACAGGUUCAAGUUCCACCUCACUGGAGAGGAUGGUUUGUAAACCCGAUACAGAAGUUUGAGAUGAUAACCGUAGGGAAAAACUUAGGGGCUUUCAAGUAUAACCAACUUAUUUUUUUUCUCCAUCUCCACCAAAAAUAGAAUCUGUAACCUCCUUAUCACUCGAACCAGUGACUGAGUUGGAUACAAUAGCACUGUCAAGAGGGGAACGACUAUUAAAAAUUUCUAAUUAAAUCUCUAAGUAAAUAAAUUUUACUGUCAUACAUAAUCAUUAUUAUCAUCCGCAAAAUUCCUAAUUAAAUUGUAAUUAUUUCAAUUACCAUGAAUUUUUUAAACAAUUUUCUUUUUAAGUAGUAAUAAAAUUUUUUAAGUGUAAUAAAAUAAAAUAAUAAUUAAAUUACACAACUUUAAUUUCUUUGAAGUCACAACUUUAAAUUUAUAAAUAAUAAUUUUUUUUGAAACUUUAAACACUAUUAAAAAUUUAAACAAAUAUUAUAGUUGAAACAUUUUUAAUAAUUUUUAUUUCAAAUUAAGUUUAUUAAUUAAAUAAAAAUAUAAAAAAUGAAAAUCCCUUGAGGAAGGGGGUAAUUGUAGUUAGACUUAAAACCAUCUUGCAAUUUUUAAAAAUGUCUCAGGAAAUUUUAAGAUUUAAUAAUGUGAAUAACAUCAACAACAAUUAAUCAUCCACUAGAGGGCAAAGAAAGAGAAGUAAGUAAAGUGUUAUAAUAGACGUCGAUAAUGACAAUUAGAUAAUCGUAAAAUUAGAAAAAUAAGAAUACACAGAUUUUACGUGGAAACCCUUUUGGGUAAAAAUUACGGGCAGAGGAGAAAUUCACCUAUGUUGAAAAAUGAAUGAUACAAGAAGAGUUUCGACUACAUCUAUUUAAAGAUUGAAAACCUCUUUUCUAAUCAAUGCCAAAUAGAAGAGAUGUAGUUCUUUGCAGAUUCUACUUGUGCGGCAUGGUCCCCUUAUUCAAACCUUCGGCCCUCGACUUUUCGCUCCCACAGAUCCCCUUAUUUUACCGAUAUAUUUUAUUUUUUUAACAAAUGAUGAGAUUCAAUUCACAUAACUCGAUCAUAAAUCAAACUAUUUAUUGAAGAAAGAGAUAUUAUUUACAUGCUUUAAUUCGUAGAAAUCUCUAUUAAUUAACCUAUAUGGGGAUGAUCACAUGUACCUUUUUGUCUCCCCUUCCAACAUGAGGUAACUAUAAAUCCUUCAAUGGCACAGAAUAGCAUGUGCUCACACUCUGCCUUUUCACGUGCAAUCACUUCACAUUUUGCUCUAAAAUUUCCCCAAUACACAAUCAAAUAUUCAACUGUAUCAUCUACCAUCUUUACUUCACAAAACCAAAUAAUUCUCACUGCUUUUUAAUUGUGAGUGCUACUUGAUUUAUUUCUAGGGUAAAAAUUCUCAUUCUCCUCAUCAAAGAAAGAAAACUAAAAUAAAAGCUUAUCUAACAUUCAGCAUUUUAUUUUAAAGUGAACAUAUAUAAUGCAUUCUAUGAGUCUAAAUAAAAUAAAGAAAAGGGAGAAGCUUAUACAUAUAUAUGCCUUUUGUCUGUUUAGUAUCUCGAAAUCAUAAGCUAACCUUUAGGAACUAAAAUUUCAAAAUUUGGAUUUAAAUUUUAAAAAUAAUGUGACUUCAACAUCAUGAUUAUUUCUUAUGAUUUAUCUCUCGUCACUGUUGAUAUUAGGGAAAAAUAAGUUGAAAAAGUAAAAGGAAGAAAAUGAAGACGUAAGUUACAGGUAUGUGUAUAUGUCUAAGCUCUAAUGAUUAAACAGAGAUAUAGAAAUAAGAUUUCUACUUCUUACCUUUCUCUGGACAUUCAAGCAUGCUCUCAAGUAUGGAGGAAAAUAUGUUGUGAGAGAAACAAAGAUGAAGGCGAAGAGAAAAGAAGCAAGAAAAAGAAAAUGAGAGAAAGGGGGCAAAGAGUGCUUAAAAGGCAAGAUAUACAUGUUCUCCAUUAUUUAUCUAUAGAAUAAGAUUUAUGUUACAAUCUAAAGCUUGAGAAUCUAAAUCCAUGAACUCAAUUUGGUUGCCUUCAUUUUAUUUUAUUUAACAUGAUGUACGAGGAUUCAUUUAAUUUAAUUUGUUGGUCCACAAACAACUAGAAAAUUGCUCCGUUCUCUCCAUGAAAAUAAAAAAUAAAAAAAAGACACAUCAACAACAAAAUAAAAUAAAAACCACUGAUAUUUAUAAAUUAUUAAAAACAUUUUCUCCAUUAUACUUACAGAGAUGAUCAGCUCCCGAAGGCUUCGCAGCAGUCACUAAUUACACUGCAGCAACUCAAAGCAUUGAAAAACCAAUCAAGGCAACCAGACUUUGCAGGUGGAGCAGCAUACCGUGAAGGUGGUUCCAUCACGGGGGGAUAACCUUGAGCAGGGUUAGGAUAAGGAUACUUGGGAUCACUCAUAUUUGGAAACUAACUGACAAGUGAUUCAGUGUCGAUGGAAAAAAAAUGCUUUAUAGUCGGCAAGGGCCCCCCUUCGGCCUUCAGGGCCAAACUAUAGCUAGAUUAAUAGAGAUGGGUAGCUUCCGCACUUUUUCCAGCGUUAAUAUAUAAGGUGCCUUUCACUUUCUGGAUG